CCUUCUUCACCAGCAGCUGAGUGUCGAAGACGACCAGUUUUGCGGAGGUGGGUAUCAGAUCGUAACUCUUGUGGAAACGAAAGAACUUAACAAAGAUCUGUGAGUCGUCCUCCUCUGAAAUAGAUAAAAGAGAGCACAAUCAACAGCUCCCAGCACCUUCUUUGAGCAGUUGAGCAAGCAGACGCUUCCAGCCGUCGGAGAUUUGCUCAAACUCCUUGAUGCUCUCCAGUGGAUAGUAGAGCACAUCGGUGGGUCGACCGCUGCCGCCAAGAACCAAGCGGCCCGCAUGAUUCGAGUAAAAAUGCAGCUGUAACAUGCGGGGAGCGGUGCUGCGCGGUCUAGCGGGUGGCUUGAGAUGAGCCACAGCGAGGCACCAUCAGCUCAAUGGAGGCUGUCAAUUAACUGGAGCACACACAAUCGAUUUGAUUUCACAACGUUAAUUGAAUGUUUAAUUUAGCGUUUAACAGAAGCCUAACAGAGGCUAUACAGAGAUGCACCGUUCCACGCGCUUCUCACUGUUACGAAACGGUAAACACGUAAAACAAAUGACAAAUGCACCGAAAAUAAAAUAUUUAAUAUUUAUUUUCAA